GGAGCUCGCCUCCUGCUGCAGCUCAGGCCCGAUGCCGCCGGACCCGGGCUCGCUCUCCCGGCUGCUGGCGCCCCGGACCUCAGGCUGCCUGUCCGGGGCCGAGCGGGAGGCGCACCACGCUGGGGAGCCGCUGGGAGCCUCCGCUUAGUCCCGUUGGGUUGUGCCAGAGUUCCCACGCUGGGCGAUGCCAGUACCAAGUUUGUGGGGGACGAAGACUGCUAUACCCGUCAGAUGAAUUAUUCAGCAAGAGUCACAGUGAGAUCAAGCGCACAGGCCCCUGCUUCAGAGCCUGGAACCCAAACUUGUUUCCAACCCUUUGUCCAAUGACGUUUCAACAUUGAAAUCAGGUCAAUAAAGGGGGUCUUCCUACACAAGGUCUCUAGCACCAUCCCCUGGAUCUCUUCCAUAAAGGUUGGGAGCUAUGCUCCCCAGUUAUCAGUGAACUUCACACUAAUAAAAACCAUCAGUGCACACUGAGAAGGCCUGCAUGGGUGCCAGCGUGUGAAAAUGUUUGCCAGAGGCAGUUCUCCUGAUAAGUAGGGGAUCUGAUGGCAGCCAAGUCUCCAACUGCUGGACUGUUCUGUGCACAUUCUGGUGGGAUUGAGAAUAUUUUCUUCCUAGAAUGGCAACAGGAAAAAAGGGUAUUAAACCUUAAAAGUCAUCUGGGUGUACGCAAAGCCUCCAAUGGCCCCAGGCUCCCAGCUAGUAUGAAAAAACAUGCUCCACUUUUCUCCUGUUUCCUCAUCCUAACAGCUCCCUCUGCUUGCUUCUAGCUAUGCUGCUCUCCCUUUUACCUCCCUGGCUCCUCUUAUCUUCUCCUACCUCAGUGGCUCCCCCUUCUGCCUCCCACCCUUGCUUCCCCAUGUCAUCCUAUGUUUCCCUUGUCUGCCCUAUUUGCCCCAUUCUUGUGUCUGCCCUGUGUCUCCACCCAUGUGUUUCUAUAACUGAUUUGCAGUGUUUGCCACUGAUAGCGUCAUAGGGGGAGUGGAGGCCUUCAUUGCUGCUUGGUGCUGACCAGGCAGGCUGGCUGGCUGCAUGCUCUUCCACCCUCUCGCUGUUCGAGAACACUGAGCUUCAGGGUUUGAAAAGCAUGAAAGGAAGCUCAAUCUCUUCCCCCCCCUUCUUCUCCCAGUAUAUGCCCUUAUGGCAGGAAGCUGAUGCUGAGCCCGACUGAGUGCUGUUCUGUGGUCCCUUUGUGUCAACUAGGCUGAAGAAUACCACCCUGUACAGGGAGCCUGGUGUAGAGCAGGAUGUGGCUGCUAUGAGCUGCCUCCACAGGAGCCCUGGUACAGGGGCUGUUCUGGGGUAGGGUGACUUGGGGUGGGAAGCAGGCUGGGGUGGAUGACCAGUUCUGUUCUCCUGCAAUGGUUCAUAGUGUUUUAUUACAGCAGGGGUUCAACUUAGGGUAGCCCUCUGGAUUUCUCUAACCUGUGCCAGGGGCCGCACCAGCUCUGAAUAGGAGAGGUGGAAGCUGCCUUGCCACUGGUUGCAGUGCAGGGAUGAAUCUGGCUCAUUGCAGGGCCCCUUGCUUGGGUCAAACUCUUGUGUGCACUAGCAGCAGAGGGACUUGGGGCAAAUCCAAAAUGGGACUAGUCACAAGUAUGGGUCUGCAUAGCAAUAUAGUUAAAUGAGGACCAGUAUUGGGAGGUGCAGAGUGGCUUUCAUUCCCACUGAGAUGCUUGGCGUUUUUGCCUCUUGUAGGCAAAAUGGAAACCAGUCUGUAAUAUGCUACGACAUGAAGCAGUGUGUACCACAGCCAACUAUGAAUAACAGAAACGAGGUCCUGCUUAGAGAAGAUUGAUCUUUCUGCACAGAGCAGGCCUGCUGAUCCAUAAAAGUUCUUUCAAAUCUCUAGAUACACUUAAAAAAACCCUGAACCUUAAAUGGAUGUCUGAACAUUUUAAUUUUGAUACUUUGAAAGUUAAGGCUGCUCGUUCCAUGGGCUCUACAUUCUUCCUCUGGGGCUAAAUAGAUGAUUAUUUGCACAUCACAACAGCCUGCUGGGAACUUUGGGCAGGUGUGAGAAUGAGGUCCUUGCCUAGAAAAGUUUUCAGUCUAAUUCUGUCACUGAGGUACUGAACACUCUAUCUUUUUAAACAAGUGCCUGCUUUUAGAGUUUGAAAUUCAGACAGGGUUUUAAGUUUAAAAAAAUGCUAAGGUUUCUCCUCGCACCCCACCCCCCUUUCCUUGUUAGUGAGCAAAAGGAGACUAUGCACAGGACCCAUUUGCCGUAGAAAUCUGUUCUUGUAAACUGUUGUCAUCUGUUGGAGUCAUGAGCCCAUUUCUAUGCAAAUCAGCUCAUUGAUGUCAAUUUGUGCCAGCUUUGGACCAAUUCACAAAGGAAUGUUGAGAAAAUGCUUUUGUCAAUUCCCCAUUCCUUCCCCGCUCACGCUUACUCUCACAAAUUCUAAAUAUUAGGAACCAGCCAUGAGUCUGGCUCAGCACCUCUAAACCUCAGCCUCUGGCAGUGCACUUAUGACAGGUGCAGAGCAGUCAGAAUCUAGGAAGAGAAAUGGUAACAUCAUGGUCUCACACAACACAGAAUUUCCCUUCUACUGCUUUCUGCUGCCAGCAUGGUUUAAAAAUCUUUUUUUAAAUAAAGCACUGUACUUAAAAAAGGCAUCUCCUAUUCCUGCCGGUUGAGAAAACAGAAAUGUGCCCAUUCACCUACCUAGCCCUGGGCCAAAACACCUUAUAAUUCUGGGCUGCUUGAAAUCUGAACCUAAUCUGUAUCUAGAUUUUACAAAUGAUCCUUAUCUUAUUAAUGAGCUGAAUCCAGAUUUGACUUUCAACACCUUGAAUUAUAAUGUCUUUAAAAUCCACAUCCAAAUCUAGCAUAGCACUGCCCUUCAUGACAUGUGUGUGUUUGCACAUCAGUAUGAGUAAAGGGGAAAAGAAUCCAUCUCCUUAGUUCCCUGUUGCUCUAGUUGUCUGAUAACUAUUGAGAACUGCUGUUUUAAGAAGUUAAAUAAAAUAAAUUAGCAAACGUUACCAAGGUAUUUACAAACCAUAGUGAAACCAGACAACCUUUCAAACAGUUAUCUGCCUACUUUUGAAGCAGGUGAAACAGUAAAGCCAAAAAUAAAUCUCUACCCAGUAUCUGUAAUAAAUAAGUGGGUAAAAGAAAUCUCUGCAGACCCACAUUGCCUUUUGCUAACUGUUAUAUAUUUAGCUUUGAUUUUAACAAAAGCACAGUGCAAAGUUUUUUCUUGUUUGUUUGUUACAUGUCUAGAGGACUCUUUAGGAUGCCUUCAUUUGCAUAAUCUAAUGUGGCAAGAGUCCAUUCAUUCUGUUCCUUUGCUCCAUCUACUGUUAGCGUUAUCAGCCAUCUUGCUCCAUGUAUUAUAAACUCUCCCCAUGUAUUUUACAAAUGCUAUUAUGUAGUACUUUUGCACAGCCCGUAUACUUAGCAGAUUGUAUGGUCAAAUGAUUGCAUUAGAGUGAAUGAUAGAAAUCCAGAACACAAACAAUUAUGGCACUGAACUGACUGUAUGAGCUGGAGCCAUGGCUGAUUUUUGCGACAGAUGGAAAACUCCACCGAACCUUUUAUUGGCCAUAUGCCAUUUUUGAAUGUUGGCCAACAACAAGAUUUGUUGCUAAUGUAUAAUGAUUUAAACAGUAAAAAGAGCAGCUGCACUUCGAUUUUUUUGGUGCCUUUACUCCAGGUUUUCCUGGAGUCUUUGCAUGUCUGGGGCCACUUUUUAAUGCAAGGCUGUCAUUUCUAGACUACGAGCGGUGGCUUCAUUUUCACAGCACUAAAUGUGGCUGAAUUUUAUAUUUUGAUACUUAUCAUUAAAACUCUCCCUCCCUUUUAUUGCAUCUAAUAAGAUAAGGUUGUAAAAUCUGACUGCUACAUGAAACCAAAAACGGUUUCUAAGCGCUUGGCUCUAUUGUGUAGUCGCGCAACAGAGCCUUUAUUAUGCUGUCAGUAGUGCUACUUCUGUUUAAGACCUGUCUGAGGACUGGCCUCUCGGUGUUCCUCCACCUGCUCAGAGAAAAAAAGUCUUUCAAAGUAGAACCCAGAGGAGCUGCAGUUGUUGUUCACUGUGUCACCAGGGUGGUGCUUGCAAGACACAAACCCAUGAACAUAUGGCAUUUAAACUGAAGUCUUUAGCCACACAGUAGAAUAUGACACAAGGCCCCUGCUGCUACUGCCUAGCUGCCAUAUAAUGUCAUACCUUUCACCUCUCCUAAAGACAGGGCAACUCCGCUUACUUUAGUGGAAUUAACUGGUGAUUCCAUGAGUGCAGACUGAGGCUGGAACCUGGCCUGGAGUAUAAUUUCUGUGGCACGCCCAACUGCUAACAGUUUGAGAAGAGAGAUGCCUGGACCUACGACUCCUGGCUUGUAAUGUUGGCCUGGAUCCACAAAGAGACUUAGGUGUUGCAAUGCCUAACUUUUAGGCACCAGGAAAAUCACAACAAAGAAGUCCACAAAGCCUGAGUUAGGUACCUUUACAAUGAAUGGGAAGAGACAGGUGCCUAAAAACAUGAUCCACAAAAGCCAGCAUGCUAGGUGGGGAGCUGCCUAAGCUAGCCAAUGAGAGAUGUUGAUGAGAGGAGUGGAGCAGCUUCAACAGGAGAGUUUGAGGGAGCCCCACAUCAGCAUAUCCCAUAGCCCAGUGGUUAGAGCACUCUCCUGAGGCGUGGGAGACCCCUAUUCAGAUCCUUUCUCCCCAUUAGGCAGAAGGACGCGUUGAACUUGCAUCUCCCACAUCCCAGUGAGUGCUGUAACCAUUGGGGUAAAACUUAUAAGGUGGACAUGCCCCAGAUUUUGAAUGGUAGGUGGCCUCUGAGUAAGUCUCCCAGGCAGGGCCCCUCAGGUAAGAUGGGUGCUCCUCCACCUGGCUUCCUCUGGUUCAUGGAUUGCAACAAGGCAUAGAUGGGAGAUAGCAGUGCAGACACCUACAGUGAGGCAGCAGCAUGCAUGCCCUAGGGCAGGAAAAUAGGUGCCUAGGGAACUUUUACAGCAAAAGUUUAGGCACCAAGUAUGAUUAGGUGUCUACAGAGUUAGGCAGCAGCCAAGCAGAAGUUCUGAAAAUCACGGUGGUGCCCAAAACUGGAAUUUAGGCAACUAAGUACCUUGUGGAUCUGGGCUGUUGUGCUUCCAACAAACCCUCUGUGAUGGUCUUUAUUAUUUUAUUUUCCAAAUGUGUGGAUUUUAUGUAUAUAUGUAUAAAAACCCACUUAAUUUCAUUAUGCAAACAUAUGUCAGGAGAGAAAUAGUUAGGGAAGAGGUCCAAGCAUUCGUUACGCGUAUCAGUGGAGAUGCACAAUGUUGCAGUGGAACAUGAACGUGGGGUUAGUGUGAUAUAUGUGACAGACAUAUGAAUAGAUCCCAACCAUGGUAAAGCUUUCCAAAGAGGAGUAAGGGGCAAAAAGAGCCCUCUUGCUACUUGCAUCAUGAGAGGGGAGUGUGAAGGAGAGGGGGCAGUUGCUGCCUGACUGUAACUCACCUGCCUGCAUAAGUGUGCAGAAUGCUGGCUCUACCCCCACAAUGUUCCAGCUGGUGUGGAGGUGGAAAAAGCUUCUAAGCUGUGGCUCUGAAUCACACUCUGGCUCCUGAGGCAGCACAGCUAUGCCCAGCCCCUUGCUUGGGGCAGAUUGCAGGAUGCCAGUGGGAGAGAGGAACUGCUGAGGGCCCAGCGCCAUAAACCCAGAGAGCAUACAACACCUAUUGAUUUCUGCCUGCUGAGAUCUUGCAGAAUCAUACCUUGAAAUUCAGAGCACCAGAAAACAGGGGGAGGGUGGGGAGAAGAACAUGGGAAGAUAUUGUACUAAAGAAGACUAUUAGGGCUGCUGUUCAACUGGCCCACUUUUGAACCAACAGAAUUGGUCGGCACUCUUGGGGGAGGUAUUGUUAAAAUAUUACAUUAAAAGCACUGAGUGCUAUUACAAAUGAUACUGCCAACUCUACUUAUAGGAAUUUCACCUCUCUCGAUGUGAAUUGUUUAUAGAUUUUGAGAAAAUAACAUGUACUUAUUAUUCAAAAUUAUCUGCCUAAAAAUAUCUGUAAAUAAUUCUUGAUCUGUAGCUUUUGUUGCGAGUAUGCAAAAUCCAAGUUGCUUUAAUUAGACAACGUUCCUGUGGUGUACCGUAUUUCUGAUGGUUGAUUGUAUGAGUGUGACUCUUAGAAUCAGGCUUCCAGUGCAAAUACUCACCACUACAAAUUUGAAAAGCAGUUUUCUUUGAGCUUUCUGCAACACUGGUAGCUGUUUUUGGCAAAUGGUCCUGAAAACCAACUCAGUAGCUAGAAUAUUUACAGAAAGUGAACACAAAAGGGGUAGCAAUACAAUUGAAGUAAAUUAACUGAAACAUUUUUGUAGUGGUCACUGCUAUAACAUUUCAGACCAGUGUGAAAUGCACAUCAGUCACAGUGUUUGAAAACUAUGUAAUUCUUAUUUGUACUGGAAUUGAGACAAAAACAAACAAAAAAUAAAAACCAAAACACUAUAAAUCUGGUUUUGAGCAGGGUUUUGAGCUGUAUGUGUUGCCAAUCUGAAACAGUACACAAUGAUCAGUAAUUCUCCCUCUGGUCUCGAUGCCUUUAAGGUGUGAUUUGUGAGCUGAAUGUUCUGCUCUUUCGAAGUGGAUGGAGUCCUGUGUUUUUUCAUCUCUUGUAGGGAGCAUCUGAUAUCUCAUGCAUGCAUGUGACACAGUCCAACUAACUUCUUCCUUUUCUGGCCUCAUUUUCACAUGGUUCUGCUGCCACCUCCAGCUGGUGCCUCUAGAUAAAACAAGUCAAGCUGAGUUUAAUACAUAUGCAAAACAGUUGUCUUGUGUUCCUUUCAUUUGUCCUUCAUUUUUUACAGGACUAAAAGAAUCUCUUAUGUAGGUGGUCACAGUUAGGGGUGGAAUACUGCAAACUCUCCAUCAUACAGAUAUAGUUUCUGAGAUCUCAGUGCUUGUACUUUACAUGCAUUUUAAAGUGACUCCCUAACACCCAUUUAUAUCUUGUCUUGUAACUGUUAGCUAUUGCUUCAACUGCCCUCUUUGCAGUGUCUGAAGUAUCAACAUCUGCUGGUGAUCUUUAUUUGAAAGCUAGUCAAAUAAGUAAACCAAGGUAAUAGCUUCCAGUGUGUUGGUGUGUUGCUUGUUAAAUUUAAAAUCAUAUUGAUUUAAGCAGCAUAAUUUUGUAGUGAUUAAGAAAUAUCUGCUGCAAACAGCAAAUAUGUACCUGUCUAUAUUUUUAUGGUUUAAAAUCCAUAGACAUUUUAAAAUAAUUUAUGGCCAACACUGAUAAUCCAAAACAAAGGCAAAGGGGACCUAUUAACAGCAUGUUGGGAAAUUAGGGUUGUGUUUUCCCAUUGAUUCUCAUGUAACUCUCACUAAUGUUUAUAGACAGUUGUGCAUGCAGGCACACAGAAGAGAGAAUAUGAUCGUUUAAAUGAUUAUGAAAGCAAUACAAUGCUACAUUUUGCUCUUCCUUCUCAAAAAAUGUGUUCCUGCUUCAUGUCAAGAUUUUAAAUUAUUUUUCUAUGUGAAAGACAUACAGGAGACAAUUUUUAGCCUUGGUUAAAAACAACUCUUUCUGGUAUUAUUGUGUAACAGCACCGAUGAUUUACAAGUUUAAGAUAAAUGUCAUGGGUGCCACCAUUGCAGAAUAUGAAGUAAUUAAAAAAACAUGAUAGGGAUGGACUGGCAGCAGAUGACAGAGGUGAAGAAAAUGAAAGUGCUUUGCUAGGGUCAGCUGUUAAUUAGUAUUUGUUGUCUUAAAGGCACAAGGUUAUUGUAAUCUCCUUUUUUGUUCAAUCCAGCAAGCACUCAGUCUGAUCUGUAACACUAUGCCCUGCUGACUGCUGUGGCUGCAAUUUUUUCAAUUGGUAUUCAUGCAAUAUAAAUGCAUUAAGAUCUAUAGCCUGAUCUUGAGGGAAACCGUGAUGGGAAUAUCUUUAAAACAUUGUGUUGAGAAGAGUGUCUUAAAACAGGAAAGCAACAAAGCAUACUGUUGUAACAGCCCUACAAGCUUUAUACAAAGGAAGAAGUUUCCUGUAUGGAAGUUUCAGUAAGACUUCAGAGAAACAUAUGCUACAACUGCUACUUCCUAUUCUUACAUUCAGCAUCUUAGUCGUUGGAGAGGAUGCCAAGUUGACUUCUGACAUUAUCAGAGAUACCACUGUAAUAUCCUUACUAUCUUAGAACUAUCUGUUCCUGAACCAAUCUCCCUGUGAUGUGCUCUUGGACAAAUCACACAGCUGAUCUCCUAGUAAACACAUGUGCACCUGCAUUGAUUUAUUUAAAUUAAUAUAAAUAAUAUAUCAUUAAAAAGCGCAUGUGUGUGUCUAUGUGGCACAUAUAUGUGAAGAUACUAACCAUGUGAUGAACUGCAAAGCAAUGUGAUAAAGUAACGUAUUGCUCACAUCACCUGCCCUCUGCCUGGUAAUCAAUGCUAAACACUGCCUCUACGCCAAGCCUUAAUGAAACAUUUCAAAUGGCUGCAUCAAAAAAAAAAAAAAAAAGGUCUACCUGCCAGAAAAAUUCAUAGAUAUUUAGGUCAGAAGGGACCAUUAUGAUCAU